AUUGAACGCUGGCGGCAGGCCUAACACAUGCAAGUCGAACGGUAACACGGAACAACUUUGUUCUUCCCUGUGGAGUGUCGCAGACGGGUGUGGAGUACGUCGAACUCUCCUUUUUCGUGGGGGAUCUAGUGGAGACGGUAGCGCUUAUCCCGUAUCCUCCCUACGGCUAAGAGCAGGAGCUCUUCGCCUCUUGCCAGCUUGUGUGCCCAGAUGUGGGAUUAGCUAGUUGGCGGGGUAACGGCUCACCUAGGCGACGAUCCCUAGCUGGUCUGAGAGGAUGACCAGCCACACUGGAACUGAGACACGGUCCAGACUCCUACGGGAGGCAGCAGUGGGGAAUAUUGCACAAUGGGCGCAAGCCUGAUGCAGCCAUGCCGCGUGUAUGAAGAAGGCCUUCGGGUUGUAAAGUACUUUUGGCGGGGAAGAAGAGAGUAAAGUUAAUACCUCGGCUCAUUGACGUUACCCGAAGAAGAAGCACCGGCUAACUCCGUG
rnacentral:rRNA from 1 species